GUGGGGAAUUUUGGACAAUGGGCGCAAGCCUGAUCCAACAAUGCCGCGUGCAGGAAGAAGGCCUUCGGGUUGUAAACUGCUUUUGUACGGAACGAAACGGUCCGGGUUAAUACCCUGGGCUAAUGACGGUACCGUAAGAAUAAGCACCGGCUAACUACGUGCCAGCAGCCGCGGUAAUACGUAGGGUGCAAGCGUUAAUCGGAAUUACUGGGCGUAAAGCGUGCGCAGGCGGUUUUGUAAGACAGGCGUGAAAUCCCCGGGCUCAACCUGGGAAUUGCGCUUGUGACUGCAAGGCUGGAGUGCGGCAGAGGGGGAUGGAAUUCCGCGUGUAGCAGUGAAAUGCGUAGAUAUGCGGAGGAACACCGAUGGCGAAGGCAAUCCCCUGGGCCUGCACUGACGCUCAUGCACGAAAGCGUGGGGAGCAAACAGGAUUAGAAACCCUGGUAGUCC
rnacentral:rRNA from 1 species